rnacentral:tRNA from 1 species
GCCGCCGUGGUGAAAUUGGCAGACACAUCAGCUUUAGGAGCUGACGCCCGCAAGGGUAUGUCGGUUCAACUCCGACCGGCGGCA